UCCUCUCUUUUUCCCUUGUACAGUUGCACAUGAGCAGAUAUUCAAGCUUAUCUCACAUACACCAACGCCACAGACCAUGUCGGACUCUGAGACUGCAGCUCCUGUCGAGACCCCUGUCCCAGCAGCCUGUGUGGCCAUCAAAGCAGAUUUAGACAAAUGUGUAAAAGAGAAGGGCGAGGAAGCAUGUAAGGAGCUGAUGGAGGCGUUUGCUGCCUGUGUGAAGAGCAAUGCUGAAGCGUCAUGAGGAGCUCAACAUGCUUGAAAAAGGUUUACUGCACUGAGUCCUCCACCUUCCCAGCAUUCCCUGCAGCUCAUGGCACUGGACUAAAUGACUCUGAUGGGGUCUGGCAGCAGGGGACCAUACCCAUGUCUCUUCCCUUUUUUUGUGAAGCUUAAAUAGAUUCCUCUAACCACCAAUCUACAUUGCCCUUAUAUGGCUGAUUGUAUUGAUCAUGUCUGUAGACAAUUUGGGAGAUGUAAAUUAUGUGUCUCAGAUGCUUUUAAAAUGAAAUAAAGAUUACAAAUAUGUUUAA